GACGGGCACCCGCACAAGCGGUGGAGCAUGCUGUUUAAUUCGAAGAUACGCGAAGAACCUUACCUAGACUUGACAUCCCUGGCAAAGACAUGGAAACAUGUUGGAGGUUACCCAGGUGACAGGUGGUGCAUGGUUGUCGUCAGCUCGUGUCGUGAGAUGUUCGGUUAAGUCCGCUAACGAGCGCAACCCUUGUCCUUAGUUGCUAACAUUAAGUUGAGAACCCUAAGGAUACUGCCGGUGAGAAGCCGGAGGAAGGUGGGGAUGACGUCAAAUCAUCAUGCCCCUUACGUCUAGGGCUACAGGCGUGCUAUAAUGGCCAAUAUAAAGAGAGGCAAAACCGUGAGGUGGAGCAAAACUCCAAAGUUGGUCUCAGUUCGGAUUGAAGUCUGCAACUCGACUUCAUGAAGCUAGAAUCGCUAGUAAUCCUGAAUCAGAAUGUCAGGGUGAAUACGUUCCCGGGUGUUGUACACACCGCCCGUCACGCCACGAAAGUCUGUAAUACCCGAAUGUGGUAGCCUAACCUUUUAGGAGGGGGCCAUUUAAGGUAGGACAGGGGUUGGGGUGAAAAAGUAACAAGGG
rnacentral:rRNA from 1 species